AAUUUGAUGCACAUUGGUGUUUCUAUCGAUUGAUUAUAUAAAAAAUUAACAUGAUAUUAUAAAAUUUUUUAAAUGAAAGAUAAUUUAAAAUUAUCACGUUCUCAAAUUAUCCAAUCAGAUUGGAUAAAAAUCCAACAUGGCGUUAUAUUAUAAAAAAUAAUAAAAAAUAUAAUUUAUAAAAAUCCAUAAAAAUGCGAAACUUAUAUGCAUAUAAUUGCAUAUAAAAUUUUUAAAUUAUUAAAAUUAUUAUUUUUAAAUUCUGCAUAUCGAAAUUUAUAAAAACGCAUAAGUCAAAAAAUUUUAAUUAUUUAAAUUAAUAUUAUUUAAAUUAAUAUUAAUAUUAAUAAUAGUGAUAGUUAUAAAAUAUUAAUAAAAAUAAUAAAAUAUAUUUGUAAAUUAUAGAAUGUUUUAUUACAUUUAUUACCAAGUCAAAAUAUAAAAAUUACUUUUCAUUCACAGUAACUUUAUACUAUAUCUUGUAGUACAUUAGAAAUUACUUUAAGUUUGCAGUUGAAUGUUCCAAUUUCAUGUUAAUUACCUUGCUAGAUACAAUUGAAACAAGUGAAGAUUUAUCUUUACAAAAAUAGGAAUUACAAUGGCAGGUUUUAUAAAAUUAGUAAAAAAUGUUUAUUAUGAUCCUUUUAAGUGGUCAGUAGUUAAAAGCAUUGGAUUAUUUGUAUUAGGUGUAAAAAUUGCUGUUGAAUGUAAAGGAAUGAAUGUAAUGCCAUCAAUUUCUUAGAAAUUAAAAUGUAGGAAUUAAAAAAAAAAAAAAAAAAAAAAAAAAUAGAAAUUAUUAAUGUAUUUGUCUUAUUGUACAUGUGCAUAUAUAUUUUAUUAUUUCCAUAUAAAAAAUAUUAAAAUAAGCAAAAUAUUUGUUUUAUCUUAUUUCCUUGAAUUAUUUAUUUAUUUAUUAUAUAAUGAUUAACAAUAUAUGAGCAUUAUUAUAUAUCAUUAUAAGAAAUAUAAAACAAUUAUAUAAUUAUAUAUUAUAUACUAUAGGAUGUUCCAUUAAAAUCAAUAUUUUUAAAAACUC